rnacentral:rRNA from 1 species
AGUGAACGCUGGCGGUAGGCCUAACACAUGCAAGUCGAACGGCAGCACAGUAAGAGCUUGCUCUUACGGGUGGCGAGUGGCGGACGGGUGCGGAAUACAUCGGAAUCUACUUUUUCGUGGGGGAUAACGUAGGGAAACUUACGCUAAUACCGCAUACGACCUACGGGUGAAAGCAGGGGCUCUUCGGACCUUGCGCGAUUGAAUGAGCCGAUGUCGGAUUAGUUAGUUGGCGGGGUAAAGGCCCACCAAGGCGACGAUCCGUAGCUGGUCUGCGAGGAUGAUCAGCCACACUGGAACUGAGACACGGUCCAGACUCCUACGGGAGGCAGCAGUGGGGAAUAUUGGACAAUGGGCGCAAGCCUGAUCCAGCCAUACCGCGUGGGUGAAGAAGGCCUUCGGGUUGUAAAGCCCUUUUGUUGGGAAAGAAAAGCAGCAGGUUAAUACCCCGCUGUUCUGACGGUACCCAAAGAAUAAGCACCGGCUAACUUCGUG